AACGCACAUUGCGCCCCUUGGUAUUCCAUGGGGCAUGCCUGUUCGAGCGUCAUUUGUACCUUCAAGCACUGCUUGGUGUUGGGUGUUUUGUCUGCGCCUCGUGCGCAGACUCGCCUUGAAUCGAUUGGCAGCCGGCUAUGUGGAGUUGGAGCGCAGCACAAUAUGCGCUCUACCCCACGGCCGUCGGCGUCCAGUAAGCCUACAAAUCUCACGUUUGACCUCGGAUCAGGUAGGGAUACCCGCUGAACUUAA
rnacentral:misc_RNA from 1 species